rnacentral:miRNA from 1 species
GACGUCGAAUAUCGACGUCAUAAACACCAAAGUUGAUCGUGUUUAUGACGUCGAAUAUCGACGUCAUAAACACCAAAGUUGAUCGUGUUUAUGACGUCGAAUAUCGACGUCAUAAACACCAAAGUUGAUCGUGUUUAUGACGUCGAAUAUCGACGUC